rnacentral:rRNA from 1 species
CUUUGGGAUAACCCUCGGAAACGGGGGCUAAUACCGGGUAUGACCUUAUGCCGCAUGGCGUUUGGUGGAAAGUUUUUCGGCCUGGGAUGGGCUCGCGGCCUAUCAGCUUGUUGGUGGGGUGAUGGCCUACCAAGGCGACGACGGGUAGCCGGCCUGAGAGGGCGACCGGCCACACUGGGACUGAGACACGGCCCAGACUCCUACGGGAGGCAGCAGUGGGGAAUAUUGCACAAUGGGCGGAAGCCUGAUGCAGCGACGCCGCGUGAGGGAUGACGGCCUUCGGGUUGUAAACCUCUUUCAGCAGGGACGAAGUGUAAGUGACGGUACCUGCAGAAGAAGCGCCGGCCAACUACGUGCCAGCAGCCGCGGUAAGACGUAGGGCGCGAGCGUUGUCCGGAUUUAUUGGGCGUAAAGAGCUCGUAGGCGGCUUGUCGCGUCGACCGUGAAAACUUGGGGCUCAACCCCAAGCCUGCGGUCGAUACGGGCAGGCUAGAGUUCGGUAGGGGAGACUGGAAUUCCUGGUGUAGCGGUGAAAUGCGCAGAUAUCAGGAGGAACACCGGUGGCGAAGGCGGGUCUCUGGGCCGAUACUGACGCUGAGGAGCGAAAGCGUGGGGAGCGAACAGGAUUAGAUACCCUGGUAGUCCACGCUGUAAACGUUGGGCGC